rnacentral:ncRNA from 1 species
CCACCUAAAUUUAAGCAUAUUAAUGAGGGGAGGAAAAGAAACUAACCACAAUUUUUUUAGUGGUGGCGAGCGAAAAGAAAAUAGUUCAGCACUAAGUCACUUUGUCUGUAAAGGCAAAUGUGAGAUGCAGCGUAAGGAAUGUUCAAUUCUAGUAUGAGAAAUUAGCGAUUUAAGUCCUCCUUAAAUGAGGCCAUUUACCCAAAGAGGGUGCUAGGCCUGUAUAACGUUAAUGAUUACUUGAGAACAAUUCCAAAGAGCCGUGUUGCUUGAUAGUGUAGCACUAAGUGGAUGAUAAAGUCCAUCUAAAACUGCUUUUGAUUUGACAGAUUGCUGUUAAAUUUAUAUUUACAUAGUGCUUACAUGUAUUUGUAUAUUUUAUAAUAGCAUAUAAAUCAACCAUUUUUAUAUUUAUUAUAUGCAAUUAUAUGAUUUACAAUGCGAAAGAUUCGGGAUAGUUUCGAUACUCGUCUUGGAACACGAACCAAGGAGUCUAACAUAUUUGCAAGUUAUUGGGUUCUUUAAAAACCUAAUAGCGAAAUUAACAUGACAAAACCAAUAUGGGAUUAGUUAUUAGUUCUAGCAUACUUAGACUAUUAAUUCAAUCCCGGGGUGUUCUAUACAGUUAUGUAUAAUAAUAUUUAUAUUAUUUAUAUUAUUUAUACCUCUAACUGGAACGUACCUUGAGCAUAUACGUUGCAACCCGAAAGAUAGUGAGCUAUACUUGAUCAGGUUGAAGUCAGGGGAAACCCUGAUGGAAGAACGAAGCAGGUCUGACGUGCAAAUCGAUUGUUAGAAUUGACAAUCAAUUGGUUGGCGAAAGACCAAUCGAACCGUCUAGUAGCUGCUUUGUUUAUUAAAUGUGGGCCUUAUGCUCGUCCUGGCAACAGGAAAGAUCACAAACAAACCGUCGAGAGAUUACGGAAGAGUUUUCUUUUCUGUUUUAUAAUUGUACUACCAUGGAAGUCUUUCGAAGAGAGAUAUGGUAGAUGGGCUAGAAAGGUAUGACAUUUACUGUUGUGUUUUCUCCUCGGAUCUUGACAAUUUAUGGUGGGGUCACGAAACGUCCCCCAAGUGAAGAGUCUCUAAUC